GCCUCAGCAGCGUGUUUGUUCUGUUUGUUUGUUGUUGUCCAUGGCUCGUGAGGCAGUUUGAGCAAUGGCGAUGAGGAAAACGAAAUUCAAACAGCAAGGUCCUCGGCGAGCCUUGGUGGGGCGGCACGGACUAGCGAAAACUGUUGGUGUUGCCGUUCAAGCUGGCGUUUGUUACCCUCUAGACACAUUGAAGUCGCUCCAACAGGUGUCUGCAAAUGCAGGGGACAAUGCAGGACUAAACAUUGUUGUUGAUUCGAAGAAAGGAAAAGGCGCGGGUACAUUGGCUUCUGGAAUGAGGUCAACUGUUGGAGUAACAGGGUUGUAUGGAGGAUUAGGGUGGCACGUUUUGGGGAGGUUGCCUGCGCUUGGCACGCAGUACGCUUAGAACGCUUGUUUCGGUGUGUACGAGCUAUGUUGCGCUUUCGCCACAGGUAGCUCAUACCACCACGUCGGAAACGGGUUAUCUUGGCACGAAGUUACGUCGUUGCAAAUCCAAUCCCAUCUUAAGAUGCCGAGAAAUUGUUGCAGUUUAUAGAGCUUCUCUGAUGUGGCUAUGAGAUUGGGCAAACAGGCCCACGAUUGAGGUUUGCAUUGAGUUUUUAUUUGUUUUCGAUUUGAAUUUAGAACUUGUUCGACACCUUGUUGUUAGUUGUCUCUCCAGCAUGAAUAUGCUUCUCUGUCUAUUAGACCUGCCAGCUUUGCACUGGUGAUAUUUAGUUGGGCAUUAUUGUGAAGAUAUCUUGAUUGAUUCAAAAGCUUCUCAAAGGGUUUGUGUUUUGCUUUGUUGUAUCUCAUUUCUUUUCAUUUUGAUUGAUUGUCCACUUGCUGCAGUUCUGUUGACAUGGAUUGUAUUCGGGAUCAGUGUGCUGCUGUGCUAAAUAUGGCGAUCGAUCUGCAGUUGGGCUUGACAUGAAAAAGUGGAGUUCAGGUGGGCUGAAUACAGUGAUCUGGAGUGGCAUCAAGAAAUGAAGUUGAGUUGGAACAAUGAAGUAGAGACACUCAACGUAGAAAGUGGAUGGGACUGAAUAUAGAAAAUAGGAGGAGUAUAAAGAGAGACCAGGGCAUUGGAAAGGGGUUGAGUGGCGAAAGGGAGAAUGCCAUGGGAACAAGAAAGCACUUCAGGCCCAAAAUUCCUCUACCGCAUCAUCUGCCGCAUCCUCUGCCGCAUUUUCUGCCACAUCAUCUGCCGCAUUUUCUGCCGCAUCCUCUGCCGCGUCCUCUGCCUCUGCCAGGGGCACUACCUCCCUUGGCAGACCUUCCUCCUCUGCCAGGAUUUAUACCUCCUUUUCGUUUUCGUGACCCGUUUGUUACGGAUUCGUCGACUUCCACGACGAGUGAACCGUAGACAAGAGAAGAGCUAUGCGUCAUGAGGGCGACACUUUGGGAGAUAUAAUGGAUAUGAAAUAAACUGCCUGAAAUUGAAGCCUCACGCAGCCAAUUGCUUAGAAGCUUCCUGUCUUCGGAACAAAAUAGCUAUGGAGUUAGAAGCCUCUAUCCUGGCCAUGAGGAACAUUGAUUUUCUUUGACUUUACGCAUGUUCAGAUUUAGUAAAAAUCACUUUCAGUCUUGUGGUAAAGUAGGCGUCAUUUUGAGUCUCCACCUUCCUCGCAGCUCGGCCAAGCUUCGUCGUAACGAGUUGAUGAAGUGACAGACAUGGUUCUUCAUGGUUAAUAUUGUUGUUGAAUGAGAAGGGAAUCUGGUUUAAUGUAAUGGAGUCGAUUGUUUAAGUUUCAGUUACUCAGACAUAGGAUUGUGUUCUCCUUGUAAUGUUGAAGUAAGUUAGACUGUAAUUGAAGUAGAGUUAUUGCAGAGUAUCAAGGGUCCACAGUAGAGUCUUAGACUUUUAGAUGACUUUCAGAAUUUUCGCACACAAAAAGUGCAUUAUGUUUAAUAACACUGGUUUGUUAAAAAAACAAAUCUCAAUGAUAAAAUAAAGAAAACUACCGUAUGAAAACCA